CCUGCGAAAAGAUCAUUAUCGGCACA
rnacentral:rRNA from 1 species